UCUGCCAUCAUCCCUUUUCCAUAUCUACUUCCCUUUUUUAUGUUAUAUCAGUACAAUCAAAUUAUACAUGUAUUCUUUUUGUAUAUCCACAACAGAAAUACAAUUCUCAAGAGUUAUUUUUACCUUUUCUGCAUCUCUUGAGUUCUAUUCUUGGAGAUCAAAUUUUUUGUUUAGUUCUGGUUUUUUCUUCAGAAACAAAUGGAAUUCAUUUGUUUCAUUAAAUGUCCAUCUUCUUCUCUGGAAGAAAAUGCUCAGCUUAGCUGGGUAGCUUAUUCUUGGCUGUAUCCCAAGUUCUUGUGCCUUUCUGGAUAUCAUAUUCCAGGCCCUUCGUUCCUUUAAUGUGGAGGCAGCCAGAUCUUGUGUGAUCCUUAUUGUGGCACCUCGGUAUUUAAAUGUUUUUGUUUUGGCUGCUUGUAAAAUUUUUUCCUUAAUCUGAUAGUUCUGAAAUUUUGCCACAAUAUUCCUUGGGGUUUUUAUUUUAGGGUUUCUUUCAGAAGGUGUUCGAUGAAUUCUUUCAAUGCCUAUUUUACCUUCUGAUUCUAUUACAUCUGGGCAGUUCUCUUUGAUGAUUUCUUGUAAAAUAGUAUCUAGGCUCUUUUUUUCAUCAUAGUUUUCAGAAAGUCCAAUAAUCCUCAGAUUAUCUCUCCUAGAUCUAUUUUCCAAGUCUGUCGUUUUUGCAAGUAGAUAAUUCAUGGUUUUUUCCAGUUUGUCAUUUUUUUGUUUUUGCUUGACUGAUUCUUGCUGUCUCAAUGAAUUAUUAGUUUCUAUUUGUUCAGUUCUAAUUUUUAAAGAAUUAUUUUCUUCAUUAGCUUUUUUUUUACUUCAUUCUGUAUAUGUCCAAUUGAGUUUUUAAGUGUAUUGUUUUGGUCUGUGGAAUUUUUUUCCAUUUCACUAAUUUUUUUUUUUAGUGAAUUAUUUUCUUUUUCCAAGUCACAGAUCCUACUUUCUUGCGUGUUCUUUGUCUUUUCCAAUUCACGGAUCCUACUUUCUUGCGAGUUCUUUGUCUUUUCCAAUUCACAAAUCCUACUUUCUAGUGAAUUCUUUAUUUUUUCCAAUUCACAAUUCUUACUUUCCUGAGAUUUUUUUACUUUUUCCAAUUCGUAUUUCAGGAAGUUGUUGCUCUCUUGUAAGGCUUCUCUUUCCUUUCCCCAUUUAUCUUCUAACUCUCUUUUGAGACUUUUAAUGGUCUCUUCUAUGAGAGCAUCAUGUAAAGGAGACAGUCUGAUGCAUUUUUGCUGUUUGCUGUCUCUUCAGGUUUGCUGACUUGCUCUUUUUCUGCAUAGAAGCUGUGGAUCGUUCUUUUCAUAUUUUUAUUCAUGUUUUAAAGCCUUUAGGGUAUGUCUCCUAGGCAAGGGGGUUACCAGCUUCCUUUGCAGAGCAGGGAGACAUGUAAACUGAUUUCCGGCUCCGAGGUAUGGGAGUGCUGUGAGUGAGAGUUUUCCCUUCCCCCAACAGGAAGUGGAUUCAGCACUGGCCGAGCUAUUGAAGUGCCCAGUAGGGCUGUGUGGGUUAGUGAUUGCCCUAGGCUAGAGACUAAGGGGUGAAAGUGUCACUGCCCCAGGCCGGAGCCUCUUGUGGGACUGUGAGUAUUAGCAGCUGACCCCAGACUGCCGAUUCCACCGAAUUCUCCCCCAGCGUCUCUGAUGCAAAUCGGCCCUGGGAAAGCUCUAUGGCCCUAAGCUGAGCCCCCCACUGCGGAGAUUGGAGGCUAACCCGGGCUGUGUCCUCCUGCUGUGCAGGAUCGCAACUGCCCCAAGGAAAAGCCACAUACUGCGGGUUGGGGCUGCUCGCUUGUGCUGAGAUCUGUGCUUUCACUUUCGGUUUGAGACUCUCCUCAGAACCUAAUUUCUCUCCCAGUUUGCGCUGAUCUCCCCCCUGGCCCUGGAACCAACCUUUUUUGGCGAGACUGCAGAUUUUCUUCGGCUGGUGAGUUGUUCUACUUCUUAUCUUUACGAAUUGUAGCAGUCAAGACUAUUUUUGAGGCUCGAUAUAAUAUUGAUAGAGAGGGUAAGAGAAGAGUUUAGAAAGUAGCGUGUGCCUUCUCCGCCAUCUUGGCUCCGCCCCCCACAUAUAAUCUUUUUAAAAUUCUUAUCUUCAUUGUAUAUAUUUAACCUAUAUUGCUUACUAUCUUGUAGAGGUUGGAGGUAAGGAAGGGUGGGAGAAAAAUUUGGAAAAAAGGCUUACAAAAAUGAAUGUUGAAAAUUAUCUUUAUAUGUAUUUGGAAAAAUAAAAUAGUAUUGAGACAAAAAUUAAAAAAAAAACACUUUAUUAUUAUUAUUUUUGCUGAGGCUAUGGGGUUAAGUGACUUGCCCAGGGUCACACAGCCAAGAAGUGUUAAGUGUCUGAGGUCAGAUUUGAACUCAGGUCUUCCUGACUUCAGGACUGGUGCUCUAUCCACUGUGCCACAGAGCCAUCCCAAAUUGUUCUUCUUAGGGAGAAGUAGAGAAGGAGGGAAAAAAAUUGGAACUCAAAAACAUGUUUAAUGAAUGUUUAAAAAAUUGCCUUUUCAUGUAAUUAAUUAAAAAAAAAAAGACUAUUUUAAAAGUGUGGUGGUUUGAUUUGCCUGGCACGUGUUGUCUUCUGCCUUUCCCUCAGGGUUCCUUGCUGCUUCAGCUAGUCCAGUUUGCCUGGAUUAAUGACAGCAAUGGAUUACCAGUUGGUAAAGUUUUUGGUUCCCUUCCCCACAGGUAUUAUUUUCCUGGAUUAUGGCUAUAUAUUGAGCCUAAAUCAGAAACAACAAUGCAAGUGAUAAUGUCAUAUCUAUAGUUUUUUACUUUAACCUGCCAAUCAUUGGUAAUUCUUUUAUGGACAUAAAGGGCUUAAGCUUGAGUAAAAUUUGAUAUGAACUUCUAAAACAAGAUUUCAUAUAUAUAUAUAUAUGCAUAUAUGAAAUCUUGUUUUAAAAGUUUUUUAUAUAUAUACACACACCUAUAUUUAUAGACAUGGACACACACACACACACAUAUGUUAAACACUAAGAUCUAUUUUAUAACAAAAGACUGUAGUUAUCACUGAUAUAGUAUUUCUUGACUGUGUGAGCUCUCUGAUGAUCAAUGUAUUUUAUUUUUGGAAGCAAUUCCUCCAAAACCCAUCUCAAUCAUAAGCAGGGGGCUUCUGUGCUGUGUUGGGUUGUCAUAUAUGUAAAUAUGAAUUCCCUUCCACAUUCCUCCUAUAUGUACAGUUUCUCACCGGGACUCUUUGAUAUCUCUAAAGUUAUGAGAUGUGAAUGAAUUCCUAAAUAUAUCCACACACUUAUUUACACAUAUUCAUCACAUAUUUGAUUUGUCUAUCACAUGUGGAUGCUCUUAUGUCUAAAGAUCUGAACUCUGAAUGCAUCCUUUCUAGAAUCAUCAAGAUUUGAGUCUUUUUUUUUCCCAAGUUAGUAAUUGUAAUGAACCCUAAGGUUUCUUCACUGAAAGAAGUUGUUGCUACACUCAUAUCUAUAUACACACAUAUCUUUCCCAUGCACAGGUUAUUAGCAUAAACUCUCUUCUACAUUGUUCAUGUCUGCAGUCUCAGACAGAUUUACUGGUAUAUAAGAGAGCUUUCUCAGAGGAAAGCAUUUCUCCAUAUGAAACAUUCUAGGGUUUAAGUGUCUUCUCUUUUGCAUGGCACAUUAUGAUUUUCAAAUAGAGGUUUUCUUACAAAAUCAAUGAUUUUCAAUUGGUGUGCUGUAGAAGACUUUUGAGUACCUUGAACAGCAAAGAAAUUAAAUCAGUCAAUACUCAAUGAAAUUAGUUUUGAUUAGUCUUUGGGAGGACAAAUACUGAAACAGAAUUUUAAAUACUUUUCCCAAAUAAUGAAUGAGACAAUAGGACUCAUUAGAAAAAAAACUGAUGUUGGAAAAAAUUGAAGGCAAAAGAGAAAGGCAGAGGAUGAGAUGGAUAGAUACUAUUAUGGAAGCAAUGGAGAUGAGCCUGAAAAGUUUUCAAGAAACAGUAGAGAAAUAACUAUAUGAACAUGUAUACAUAUAUUGUAUUUAACAUAUACUUUAACAUAUUUAACAUAUAUUGGUUUACCUGCCAUCUAGGGAAGGGAGUGGGGGAAAAAUUGGGACAAAAGGUUUUGUAACUGUCAGUGAUGAAAAAUGACCCAUGCAUAUAUCUUGUAAAUAAAAAAAAAUUAUAAUAAAAAAAAGGAACAGCAGAGGACAGAAGGGGGUGGCAUAUUAUGGUCCAUGAGGUCAUGAAGUGUUGGACAUGACAGAAUGAGUGAACAACAAAAUACUACCAUCACUUCUAUACAACCUUGCAUAUUUGGAAUAAUUGCUAGAAUGAACUUGCCUUUUACCAUCAAACAGUAAUUGAUGCUCAAAAGGGACAGAGGUUUAAUGGGCCUGAAGUUAUGAUUUCAUUGGAGAAAGGAGGUCAUUAGCACAUCCUGGAAUCUUAAAGAGUUGCCCUUAGUCAUAUCAUCAGUAUGUGUUAGAGUCAACAUUUGAAAUUUUCCAACUUUUUUUUUUAUCAAUCCAUUCUGCUGAUCUUGAGUCAAGCAAACAUUAACUUUUUAACUGUUUACUUGACACUUCAAAUAAAAAAAAUCCUAUCUGUAUUAUUAAUGAAAUUAAUUUUUGUUUUGUAAGAGCUCUUUAGCUCUUUACUAAUUUGGAUAUGAAUAUUUUCUCUCUGUUGGCUACAGAUCUCUUGUUUUCAUUCUAGCCAGAAACUAAGAAAUGUUUGAAAGAUUUUCCCCUAAAAACACCAACCGAUAUUUUGCAGUUUCAUAUUAUAGUUCUGACAAUAUAGUAAUUAUAAGCAUUGACAGAAGGAUGAUACCUUGUUAUUUUGUUGUUCUUGUUGUUGUUAUUUUUGUGAUACCUAAUAAAAAGAAGUACAUUUGUGCUAUGUGGUGGCUGGGCUAUGAACAGAUUGGAGACAAUGGGCAGAAUUUCAGAAGAAAUAUCCAAAUAUAUGAAAGCUGGUAGUAAAACAAUAUAUAUGAUUGCAUAUAUAUGGAGAACUUAGAGAGAAAGAGAAAGGACAUCAAUUACAGAUGAGGUCAACUUUGCAGGAGAUUAUCACAGAAAGAAAACUGAGCAGAAUGGUUAAAAAAAAAAAGCAAGAUAAUGCAUUGAGCAAAUGUAGAGAGUAAAUUUAUUGAAUUUUGUAAACUCUUUUUGCUCCCUCAAAGUUUCACUUUUCACUUUAUUUGAAGAAAAAGGACUUCAGUGGCACUUAAAGAUCAAAAGACACACUCAACUGUGUAAGAGAGAUGAGAAAAAUGAUUCUGUUCCUACUGACGAGUUUCGUCAAGCCCCAUUAAAGUACACACCUGCUAUUCUGGAGUGCAGUUCUGGCAUGGAAUUGUCUAUGAUCAUUGCCACUUGGGAGAUGUGAUAACUUCAAAGCUAAUGAAGAUCUAAAGGCUUCCUCAUUUUUUAAAGCUGAAUUUUAUAAUUAUCAACCAGAAGAAAUUAUUUAUGCAAAAACAAAAAUCCUUCACACAACUACAAGUGGAAUCUUAACUAAACUGAUAUUUCCUUAAAGCAAAGCAAAAUUUUAGGCAUAAUACCUUAUUAUUAUAUCAAUCUAGGGCCUAUUUAGCAAACUUCCUGCACAGUGGUUAUUCUUAUAUGGAUUAGUCCUUGGCAUCAUUUUUGGGAUGUGAUGGGAUAGUCAAGUAUUUUUUGGAAAUUUUGGAGUUUGUUUUUUAAACUAUCUCUUGAUGAUUAAUAAGGGAGAUUUAAUUUGAGUGGGAAAGUAAUCAUCCAGGAAGAGAAUGGAAUAAUUUUAGAGGUUUGCAUUUUCUUUAUUCUAGUUCUCUCCAGAAAUGUUAUUCCCUAACUCAACUUUGCUUUAUGUGAAAUAGAAAAAAAAAAGUUUUGUUCUUAGGGAGCAUAUAAAUAUCACCCAAGUCAUCAAUGAGUAUUUCUUAAGUGCCUUCUAGAAGCUGGGUUAAAAAAGCGAUAAAAGAAUCGCUGGAGAUUCUGGAGAUAAAAGAAUAAAAGGUAAACACUACACUCAAGGUAGAAACAACAUGUUUAUAUAUAAAUUUAUUCAGAAUAAAUACAAUAUAGUUAAAUAGAAGGUACUUAAAGAGAGAAACUAGAAGUGAUUAGAGGACAGGAGGAAAGCAAAUAUUUUCUGCUAGGUUCUAUUCUAAGCAACCUUGUAAAAUCUUAGAAUGAGUUUGCUUCUGGCAAUGAUGACUAAAAGGUUUAUAUUGUGGGAUGAUAAAGAGAUUCCUUUUUAAAAACAUUACAAUAAUAUUUUAUUUUUCCAAUUACAUGUAAAAAUAAUUUUCAGUAUUCAUUUUCAUAAGACUUUUAAAUUCCAAACUGUUUUCUUUCUCUCAUCCUUACCUCCUGAUUAUAAACAAUUUAAUAUAGGUUAUACGUGUGUAUAAUCAUCUUAAACAUAGUCCCAUAUUAGUUAUGUUGUAAAAGAAAAAUCAGAACAAAAGGGAAAAAAUGACAAAAAAAGCAAACAACAGCAAAGGUAAAAAUAGUAUGCUCUGAUCUUCAUUCAAUCUCAAUAGUUCUUUCUCUGGAUGAGUAUGGCAUUUUCCAUCCCAAGUCUAUUGGGAUUGUCUUGGAUCACUAUAUUGCUGAGAACUAAGUCUGUCAUAGUUGAUAAUCACAUAAUCUUACUGUUGCUGUAUACAGUGUUCUCUUAAUUCUUCUCACUUCACUUAGCAUCAGAUCUUAUAAGCCUUUCCAAGCUUUUCUAAAAUCAGCCUGCUUAUCAUUUCUUAUAGAACAAUAAUAUUCCAUUACAUUAAUAUGCCAUAACUUAUUCAGCCAUUGCCCACUUAAUGGGCAUCCACUUAAUUUCUAAUUCCUUGAUGGUGACAAAAUCUAAACAUCUAAAAAGUCUCUUCAAUGACUAAUUCUAAUAGGUAAAGUAUAUGAAUUAUUAAAAGGCUACUGAUAAAUCAUAGAAGCCCUCAAGGACCUUAUAUACCAGUUUUUUUCUGAGGGAAAUUAGGCAUCAAUGGAUUCAAUUACUUGCUUGGAGUCACAUAGCUUUAUUUGUACAAAAGCUUUCUAUUUUAACAUAAUCAAAAUUAUUUAUCUUUAUUUCACAAUGCUUUCUAGAUUUUGUUUGGUCAUGAAUUUAUUCCCUUCCCUUAGAUCUGCCAGGUUUUUUCGCUCUCCUAAUUUGCUUAUGGUAUCAGCCUUUAUGUCUAAAUCAUAUACCAUUUUUUACUUUAUUUUGGAAUAUAGUAUAAAAUUUUUUUCAGAAAGAAAAAUAAAACCAAAGAACUAAUAGUGGUCACAAGUAAAACAUUUUCUUUAUUCCCUUGAGAACCGAAAUUAGACAUGUGCAGGAGCCCGAUGGGAAAUCUCAAUACAUAUACUAAUUGCUAAGCAGUGAGCCAUAGCUCUGACAAUGAGGGGUAACAGCAGCAAUGAGACAAACUGGAUUCACAAAAG
ensembl:lncRNA